rnacentral:rRNA from 1 species
AGCCGUGAUGCUACCAUUAUGCUUGAGGCCGUGGCAUCGGAGGACACAUGGAUCUGGCAUGCAUUUUUUGGUUUGCCGGGAACACUCAAUGAUAUUAAUGUGCUCAAUAGAUCUCCUUUGUUUGCAAGAUUAGUUUCUGGGGAUGCUCCAACUUGCAACUACAAAAUCAUGGACAAUGAGUACUCAAUGGGAUACUAUCUCACCGAUGGAAUUUAUCCCGAGUGGGCAACUCUUGUGAAGUCCAUCAAGGAGAAAAAUGGGGUGCCCUUAACCAGAAAACAGGCUCAUUUCACCAAGGCACAAGAGGCAGCCCGCAAGGAUAUUGAGAGAGCUUUCGGUGUUUUGCAAGCAAGGUUUGCCAUAGUUCGGGGUCCAGCUCGUUUUUGGGACAAAAAAACCUUGGAGAACAUC